ACUAGCCAAUUUCAUCCCUUGUUCAGUUUCACCCUUUUAUUCAACCAAAGUUAAAUUUUAGUAUGAAAAACUAUUGAAGAACAAGUGACAAAAAUCAACCCUCUUGUGAGCAUUGGCCCUUUUGUUGGAUUUACCUUCCGUAUGAUAUUACAAAGCUAUCAAAUGCCCUCUUGAAUGAAAGUUUCAGACUUGUAGCACUUCUUUGUUCCCUUCCAUUCUUAAAUAAAUUCCUACCAUCUAUACAUUACUAGCCUAUGAUUUCCAUCUAUCCUUUAUAUAGAAAACAAUGGCCUUUAAAGGGGACAACAAGCAAGUUAUGUACUUUCAUGAGUUUCUUUAAAAUGUUUGAAAUGAGGAUAUUAAUGUUUGUGCUUAGUGCCAUGUAUGGUGGGUAGCUAAAUGGGUUAAGGAGAACACUUUAAUUCCAAUUCGGAAUUUAAGUGAGUGUGUAGGGGUGUCGGAUAGUAAAGCUUAAAGUGAGAUGAAUAUUAACGUGUUUAUCCCAUUUCAUUGAAUAAGAGUUUAUUUUCAAGAUUCAAGGAAACUACUAGUAAAGCAUCGAGGUAUGGAUGAAGAGGCUAUGGAGCCAAGCACUACUGAGGAGGGAGGGGCCGAUGCUUAGAGUUCCUUUGUCGGUUCGACUUUUGAUGAUAAUGGUUUAUGUUUUUAUGUUUUUACGAUGGGUCCCGUGUUGGGACGUUUUGUUGGAUUAACUUUAAAACAAUAUAUCUUUUGGAUAUGAUGUAAAUACUAUAGUGGGGCAAUGGUAAUGAUGUAACUUCUAUGGUGGAGUGAUAGUAACCCCACAUACGAUGGUUUAACACCUUUUUGUAUGUGUUGUAGGGACUGAGUCCCCUCUUAUUUAGAACUAGUUAUGUUUGAUGAAUGAAUGAUGGACUCUGAGAGUCCUUUAU